rnacentral:pre_miRNA from 13 species
UCUGAAAGCAGGUGAGCCACUGACUAACGCACAUUGUGCCAGUUGACAGUUCCACUGUGCGUGUGACAGCGGCUAACCUGGUUUUGGGGACACCUCCU